rnacentral:misc_RNA from 1 species
GAUGAAGAACGUAGCGAAAUGCGAUACGUAAUGUGAAGUGCAGAAUUCAGAGAAUCAUCGAAUCUUUGAACGCACAUUGCGCCCGCCAGCACUCUGGCGGGCAUGCCUGUUCGAGCGUCAUUUCAACCAUCAAGCCCCAGGCUUGCGUUGGAGCCCUGCGGCUGCCGCAGCCUCCUAAAAGCAGUGGCGGGCUCGCUAUCACACCGAGUGCAGUAGAUUACUCUUCGCUCAGGGCGUGCAGCGGGUUCCGGCCGUGAAACCCCCUACUUUUAAAGGUUGACCUCGGAUCAGGUAGGAAUACCCGCUGAACUUAAGCAUAUCAAUAAGCGGAGGA